rnacentral:lncRNA from 1 species
AUGCUGCAGCGCUCCUCGCGGUCUGCGCGCUUUGCUCCCGCCCGUGUAGAGCCUUUCUUCUGGUGCGGGGUGCCGGACCCUUCAUGGGGACCGAUUUCAUCCGUUUUAGUGAGUUUCGAUGUACCCGCGCUAGGAGAUAGCGGACAGAGUCCCUUUGAGAACCGAUGUAAAGUGGUUUUCAAACUUCUGUUGGAAGGCACAGUUCCUUUGUACGAAAUCUCUGUAUGUGGAAGCUCCAUCUGGAUGGUCAAGGGAGGAAAAAUAUCUGACUUCAACCAGGACAGCUAUUUCUUGACCACAGCUUUACUUUUUUUGAGUUUGAAUUUUAAAGCACCACAUCCUUCUUGUGUUUACUGCUCUCUCUAACACCAUUUCAUAAGGAUGCAUGCAAUGUAAGUAGUCCUAGCUUUCAAACUUCUUUGAAUAUCUACAUAGAAGUAGAAAGUAAGCUAUCAGAAUUGCUCGAUUGGCUGUUUUUUAAGCCCACUUUCUGUUGGUGUGUAAUGUAAGGUGAUAAUGCUCUGAAAAGGAGAGUUACGCUGUAAGAGAGAGAAUAUUCAUGGAUGAAUUGAUAGGGGAAGCUGAUACUGCUCUCAACUUGUGGUGAAAUGUAGGAUUUCUGUCAACUAUCAUCCAUCUUUAAGGACAGUGAAGGAAAAAUAAAAGUGAAAACUGAAACCCG